GAUGAACGCUGGCGGCGUGCCUAAUACAUGCAAGUCGAGCGAACGGACGAGAAGCUUGCUUCUCUGAUGUUAGCGGCGGACGGGUGAGUAACACGUGGAUAACCUACCUAUAAGACUGGGAUAACUUCGGGAAACCGGAGCUAAUACCGUAUAAUAUUUUGAACCGCAUGGUUCAAAAGUGAAAGACGGUCUUUCUGUCACUGAUAGAUGGAUCCGCGCUGCAUUAGCUAGUUGGUAAGGUAACGGCUUACCAAGGCAACGAUGCAUAGCCGACCUGAGAGGGUGAUCGGCCACACUGGAACUGAGACACGGUCCAGACUCCUACGGGAAGCAGCAGUAGGGAAUCUUCCGCAAGGGGCGAAAGCCUGACGGAGCAACGCCGAGUGAGUGAUGAAGGUCUUCGGAUCGUAAAACUCUGUUAUUAGGGAAGAACAUAUGUGUAAGUAACUGUGCACAUCUUGACGGUAACUAAUCAGAAAGCCACGGCUAACUACGUG
rnacentral:rRNA from 1 species